UAGGGAAUCUUCGGCAAUGGGGGCAACCCUGACCGAGCAACGCCGCGUGAGUGAAGAAGGUUUUCGGAUCGUAAAGCUCUGUUGUAAGAGAAGAACGUGUGUGAGAGUGGAAAGUUCACACAGUGACGGUAACUUACCAGAAAGGGACGGCUAACUACGUGCCAGCAGCCGCGGUAAUACGUAGGUCCCGAGCGUUGUCCGGAUUUAUUGGGCGUAAAGCGAGCGCAGGCGGUUUAAUAAGUCUGAAGUUAAAGGCAGUGGCUUAACCAUUGUUCGCUUUGGAAACUGUUAAACUUGAGUGCAGAAGGGGAGAGUGGAAUUCCAUGUGUAGCGGUGAAAUGCGUAGAUAUAUGGAGGAACAGCGGUGGCGAAAGCGGCUCUCUGGUCUGUAACUGACGCUGAGGCUCGAAAGCGUGGGGAGCAAACAGG
rnacentral:rRNA from 1 species